AGCGAACGCUGGCGGCAGGCCUAACACAUGCAAGUCGAACGGAUCCUUCGGGAUUAGUGGCGGACGGGUGAGGAACACGUGGGAACGUGCCUUUUGGUUCGGAACAACUCAGGGAAACUUGAGCUAAUACCGGAUAAGCCCUUCGGGGGCAAGAUUUAUCGCCAUUAGAGCGGCCCGCGUCUGAUUAGCUAGUUGGUGAGGUAAAGGCUCACCAAGGCGACGAUCAGUAGCUGGUCUGAGAGGAUGAUCAGCCACACUGGGACUGAGACACGGCCCAGACUCCUACGGGAGGCAGUAGUGGGGAAUCUUGCGCAAUGGGCGAAAGCCUGACGCAGCCAUGCCGCGUGAAUGAUGAAGGUCUUAGGAUUGUAAAAUUCUUUCACCGGGGACGAUAAUGACGGUACCCGGAGAAGAAGCCCCGGCUAACUUCGUGCCAGCAGCCGCCGUAAUAC
rnacentral:rRNA from 1 species